UUCUUGACGACCAUAGAGCAUUGGAACCACCUGAUCCCAUCCCGAACUCAGUAGUGAAACGAUGCAUCGCCGAUGGUAGUGUGGGGUCUCCCCAUGUGAGAGUAGGUCAUCGUCAAGAUU
rnacentral:rRNA from 1 species